CUUUGACAUUGAGCACACCUGUUACACGCAAUUAUUGCGGCGUGUUAGUGGCUUUAUAAAAAAAAACACAUUUGAGUGGAGUGCUUUGAUUUCUUUCCUGUGUGUAUGCUGUGUGAGUAGAAAAGGUCUUUCAGUUUAUAUUUCCUGUUGCUUUCCCCUGGUGCAGCCAAAGAACGCUAGCUGCUGUUUUUUGUUUUGUUUUCUGUUUAUUUUAUGUACAUUUCUCAGAGCUGUUUUAUAAACUUGACUCAUUGCUGGUUCACAGUCGUGGCCAUGCGGAGAUUGCGGCAGUGAACCGCUGAUUUACAGAGUGUUUGUUUUUAAAGAUUGUUCUGCCCCAUUGACUUGUAUGAUAUAUUUCAGUAAUGCAUUGUUGGAUAUCUGUAUAAACGAUUUUGUAUUCCUGUUCUGUUAAGCAGCUUCGGAGCUUUUUAAAUUAAUCCGGCUU